UUUCGCUGAGCAGCGUCCGUCCGUCCCCCGCAGAGCGGUGGAAGGAGAGGCGGGGCGGGGAGCAACUACUACUACUGCAUGAAGAAGAGUGUCACGCGGUGGAAAUAGUGCCGUCGCUGGGCGUGACCGGGAGCCAGGCCGAUAAUGUGUCCUGAAGGACCCUCCGUCACCUUGUACCUGCUCUCCUUGUCCAGGCGCCGCACGUCCUGGACGCCCGCUAUCCUUAGUGCCGAUCGCCGUCCUCCCCCUCCCUUCCCCUCCGCUGCCCCCAACCCUCUCCUCCCGAACCUCCCCCGCGCUCUCCAUGCCAAUGUUUGUUCAUUUCCACUCUCCAUUUAUCGUGCCCACGUCUCCGCCGUGACGGCCAGGGCAUCCAUCCCCGUCGACUUCACCCCUUACCCCCCCCCCUCUCUCUCUGUCUCCCUCCGUCUCCCUCUCUCCUUCUCUCGUGUGGAUCGUACCGAUCUCUUUUGACCUUUGAACGUGAGUUGUACUUCUUACCCACCGUGCAAUCAUCACGUUCUUUUGUCAUGCAUGUCAUCAAACCCUCCAAAAGCGUAGUGACUGACACGCUCUCCUCAGACAGCCGUGCCUGGCGCCCUGCGGGAAGGCCACCACUCACACACCUGCUGCUCUCACACCGGCGCAGCACCCGGUCCAGUCGCUCACAACAGCUCGGCACCGAAGAUCAACAUCAGCUGAUCAGUCCUCCCACGAUUACCGGUCCGGAUAGGAUAAUUGUUUACCGCUGCAAUUUUUUUCCCGGACUUGAGUUUAUGCCAAUUUUGUUGUGUGUGAGGAUUUCGACCAUAACUUUAUGAGUGGCUACCAUAAGAAUUUUCCCUCACUUGCCGCGGGCCGUUCUUUCCACUAUCACAAUGUGACCUUGACCUAGGCCAAGAGGCCUUUCGGCCGUAACCUCCAGCUCUACCAUGUGGCUGACUUCUAUAGAUAUGUGAUGUGAAAGUGAAAAUGACACUGAAACGCCUCUUGUGCUUUGUGUACUAUAUUGAAGGGCAUUCUGUGAGUUAAAUGUUCAGUAUGGUUGGAGUGCUGUUUUGUGUUCUACUUCAAGUGAAAAUGUGAAUGGAAAGUUUGAAUGGUGACGUCAGCCAUCAUUGAAAUUUUGGUGAACCCCCCUCAAGAAGUCACGGACUCAGAAGUACCAUGGGCUGAGCGGCACAUUAGUUGAAGGGCUGCAAACCACCCCUCUCGAACUGACAGCCAGCGAAUGUUCAAGUAACCUGCCGCUGUUGCGACCAGUCCGCAGAAACGCCGAAGAGCACUUUCACGACCCGUGACACGUCAUGCGCACUUCGCCCCUGCAAUGCUUGGUGGUGCUCUCCAUCUCGGUGCUCGGUGCUUCGGCUCGGUGCUCACCCCCGAGCGCGCUCAGCUCACCUGGGGGUGCGCUUUGCCGCGGUGCUCCAGGCUGGCCCUGCCCGCCCGCCGCCGUGCGAACCGCUGGCAGGCCACACACCAAAAAGAUUGCGCCGGGCGCGGGCCGUCGGUGUCUCGAUUCAAGUGAUAUGUACUUGAAAAAUCAAGGAUCAACUACAAUGUACUUGGUCCGAGAACCCAGUUCUUUCGGGUGUAGUUUUAGUUGUUGCAAGCUGUGACAAUAACUUGUAGCUUUUCUUGCCACACUGCGAUUCCGUUCCCGGCUGCCCAGCUCACUUUUGCCACCCCAGCUCCACCUCCAGCCACCACCCGCCGACGUAGCGCGGCAGGAUAGACUCUUGCUUGGUGAGUCCACUUGACUGUCAGGAGACGACCUGCCGCCGUGCGGGUGGGGGGCCCGUCAUCGGCGCCGUGGGUCCGAUGCCUACGGCCACUGACCUCUGAUUGUCGCGUGACUGAGAUUUGUGUCCGUUACCUUGACCUUGCAAGGAGAGCUGCCCGAUGACUCAUAUUUUCAAAUUAUACUUUGCUCAGUGGUUCCUCUAGGGUGUGUAGGUAUUUGCUGGCUAAUUUGGUUGUGCUAGACACACUUUGGAAGUCCUAAUCGGGAGGCACUUGAUCUCCCGUGCAAUUAGCGCGUAAACCAGCGCUUUGUUUGCACUCGAUAAGUAUAAAGUAAAGUUCACAAUAACACCAUAAACAUAUUCAAAUUCAAUCUCUAAAAUACAACCUAAUAAUUUUGACAAGUAAUGCAAGCAAAAAGACCUUGAUAUGCCUGAAAGCAGCCUGGGUAAAUAACUUUGGUUAUUGAUCCAAAAAGCCACUUUUUUAGAGCCUAUGAACAAAUAUCUCAUGUUUUAUUUGUGAGUUAUCUUUGAAUUUGUUGACAGCUGUUAAUAAUUAUUUACUGCCCUAGUAACAUUCUGGUUGAAUAACUAUAGAAGAGCUAUUAGAUUAGAUACUUAUUUGCAUUUAAUUUUUAAGAAGUUGUGAGCCUUAACAUUAAACUUGUUGUUUAAAAAUGAGAGUUGUAUCUUUAAGUCGCUAAAUAGGUUUUGGAGUCUUCUACUUAACGUUAAGUCAGUUGAUAAAGUGCCUCAGCUCUUCGUACCCAAAUUUCAACCAUUCGAAGGCCAAAAGAUGUAAGUGUGUACAUUCACAGAAAUAAAAUUGUUUUAAAAAUAUCCAUGGAUUAUUUAAUAGUUAUUAAUUAACAUCUAAAUACAACCCAAUCAAAGUUACUUUAUAACUAUACAUUAUUUCACAUCUAUACUGCGUUAGAUGUCAACAUAUUUUUUGUCGGUUCAAAAAUGGUUUAGUUGAUAACUAUGACAAAUUUUGUCUAUAUUUUUAGGGUACUUAUUUAUUCGAUUAUAAAUUAUCCAGAUGAGAUGUUUGAUAAUUUUGUAAUUUUAGAGGCGGGCCGCCUACUGCUUAAUAAGCUAUACCGCGCUGAAUCGCACAGGGAAUGUUGCCGCGAGCUUUUUGUAUUUCCCAUAGCUUCUGUGUUUUCGUACGACUACUGGUACCUCUGCUAAAGACUGGGAUUCGCAAAUUAAAGGGUGUGUAAUUAAAUAGGUCCGCUGUGCAAAGUUUGUAAGAUGAGUCGCUGAGGGCAUCAUCCUUCGACAAGGACAGACCAACCACAACCACCGAGCAAUAGCUUCCGAGCCUCAGGCCGAGUAGACUCGCCGAGUGCGUCGUGGGGCGGUCCUGGUCUCUUUCGGCUUCCAAGUCGACACGCGCCCCAACCCAGCACCCUCCUCGA